rnacentral:tRNA from 1 species
GGAAGGUUGUCCGAGUGGUUUAAGGUGGCAAUUUGCUAAAUUGUUGAUGGUAAAACAUCCAAGGGUUCAAAUCCCUUACCUUCCUCCA